CCCUCAAGCCUGUUCCUUGUUGCAGUCCUGAGGGGUAGUUAAAAAAAAAAGCUGGACCAAUAAACAGCAACAGGACCAAUAAAAAAGCUGGCAUCCCUAAGAUAGGUCUUAGACCCUGAGAAGGCUAAGGAGAUUCUGCAAGCUUUGACUGCAACUUACUUAUGAAGCAGAACAUUUCCUGCCUUUUUGUGCCCUGUGAUGAACGUUGGAGCCUGAGGUCCUUUUUUCUCCUUAGUUUAUGUCAUCUCUUGGGGAGAGAUUCUCUGUAGCUGCUAAGCACUUGUUAAAAGAUGUCGGGGCUUCCAGCAAGCCCCUCGUUUGAUCACUCUGGAAAAGUUUCUUUGGAAUCAGAAGCUAGGCCUUAUUAUAGAAAGAUCAGAAGUUGAGUUUGAUUCAUUUAUCUCUGCCUGGCCUAGGGACACGGCUAAAAGAUCUUCAAAAGGCUACAGCUUCUUUUUAUUAUCGAGGAGAAAAGUGAAGCAGCCAGUAAAUUGCCUUCUCUCCAGGCACAAGCCAACUUUGAUUUGCGAUAACGCUGCUUCAGUGUGGGUGAAUCUGGAAAAUACCCCCCAAAUGUUAAUUUCUGUCUUGUAAGUCUUUUUUCUUUUACCUGGAGAAGUGGCUGCUAAUCUUAGCUUUGACAUGUUUAAACCCCUUAACGGGCUCUGGGAAUAAAAUGAAUCAAGGUUUCAACCCAUCUCUGGGAUUCUUUUUCUGUUCCUGGCUAUAGUUUGCAGUGAGGAUGCUUUGAUUCUUUUAAUACCUUUAAAUUAAAGCUUCUGUUUGUUGUUUGGA